GACGUAGGGCGCGAGCGUUGUCCGGAUUUAUUGGGCGUAAAGAGCGUGUAGGCGGCCAGGUAGGUCUGCUGUGAAAACUCGAGGCUCAACCUCGAGACGUCGGCGGAAACCAUCUGGCUAGAGUCCGGAAGAGGAGAGUGGAAUUCCUGGUGUAGCGGUGAAAUGCGCAGAUAUCAGGAAGAACACCCGUGGCGAAGGCGGCUCUCUGGGACGGUACUGACGCUGAGACGCGAAAGCGUGGGGAUCGAACAGG
rnacentral:rRNA from 1 species